rnacentral:rRNA from 1 species
UACGAAGGGGGCUAGCGUUGCUCGGAAUCACUGGGCGUAAAGGGUGCGUAGGCGGGUUUUAAGUCAGGGUGAAAUCCUGGAGCUCAACUCCAGAACUGCCUUUGAUACUGAAGAUCUUGAGUCCGGGAGAGGUGAGUGGAACUGCGAGUGUAGAGGUGAAAUUCGUAGAUAUUCGCAAGAACACCAGUGGCGAAGGCGGCUCACUGGCCCGGUACUGACGCUGAGGCACGAAAGCGUGGGAGCAAACAGGG